UUUCUUUUGUUCUUUUUUUUAGCUUCCGCUUGUGCGUCUUUGUUAUCGGGUGCUGGAUCAAGAACACUAUCGCUUGUGUUGAAGUUCAUUUACUACGCUUUUUUACCCGAAUGAACGACUGUCGAAGUGCUCUUUCGGAGCUUGCGCAUCUGUAGCGGCCAUCUUGUAGGCUUUGGAAAAGAAUGGCGACCAUGGCGCACAAUCGAAGAUCUUAGUUCGAAACGGGUGUUUCGUUUGUGCUCAGUUUCACCUCACGCGAUUGACCUAGGCAGCGCUGCGUCAUCAUCCACGCCCAGGGGCUGACGACUCGACGCAGCCUAGGCCAGUCACGUGAGGUGAAACUGGUCGCAAACUGAACGCGCAUUUCGAACAACAAUCUCAGAUAGUGUGUCAUGUUACAUACACUGCAGUAAGUAUCUGCACCGCUAUAUUAAAGACAUUCGUCUUCACUAGUCAACCUUUUGUCGGGACUAGUUGCUCCUUCGGCGUAAACGCUACCUAUGCGUCGAAACAUCUCAAGCAUGCUUACUACAGCCACGCAGUGAAUGAGCUGUUAACCUUCACGUCGCGAGCCGCUAGCAAAUGUGCGAGUAGCGUUCAUGGUGCCCUCGGUGUCCGCAGAGUGACGCCUACUAUUAGGACAGAUAUCUCGGCCCUCUGCCUCGUUCUACAGGACGAUGGAUACUGUCCUGGCGGCGCUCUUCACCCACAUCGAGCGAUUGUCAGAUCAGGAGCUGCAAUCCCUGGACGCCGAGGACGUGCCUUGGCUCCCGCGACUCGGAGUCCUGCCGCGGGAAAUCGCCAUCCGAGAAAUACGGCGCGUUCUGGAAGGCACCUACAGCGUGCCUCAAUGCCUGGAGCGCAUAGCCUGGCUCCACUGCUGGCUGAUGCCCAGGAACAAGAUUGAAUCGUGGCUGCUGUACCGCCUCGGCCGCUCUGUGCUGCAGGCCGACUAUCCGACGCUUCUCCGGCGCUUGACGCGCCGACUGCCGCUCCCCGGCUACCGCACGAUGUUGCGCGUGAACCACAGCGAAGGGACGUACUACGCUUGCAUGAUAAACAGUGGCCCGUAUUUGCGUGCACGGGAUCACGAAGUGGUGUGCUUGGUGCUCUGGAGGGGCCAGUGCUUCAUGGCCGCGCACGCUGCUCGAACCGACGUUGCGCACCGACUCGCGGUCGCCCUGCACAGGGUCCUGGGCGGCGACGUCGUGGAACUUCUACAGGGUGACUACAGAGACCCCGUUUCAACGUUCUCCGUGGCUCGCCUAAAUGCCGCAUUCCGAGCACGUUACUAUUAGGUGGCGAUUAAGGUUCCGCAAAACAGCUUAUUUCGAGUCCUGACUUACGAAGAGAAUCGGGCAAAACCACAAGGCAGGCACUGCGGCGGAGUCGCAUGACAAUUGGAAAAAAGUACGCAGGGCAGCAUUCCUUCAAGCUAGCAGAACUUCGACGCAAUGGACCAAAGCUUCUGCAUACAUGCUGCGUCCGAGGUAUUCCCACGAUAUCACCGGAAAUAAUUCGUCAGGGAGACUUUUCAAGCACCGGGACGGCAUACGAAAGAAGCUGGAUACCACCUUUCCAUCAAAAGUGCAAGAUCUACCUGGACAGCAUUAUUCUGGACGAACCCUUAUGGAACCCCACUAGUUUUUAUAUGGCGUGACUCCUUUGCAGUUUCCGAGAAACAUUUGCCAGUUGAGAUGCAUGACAUGAGACCGCGGAGCGGGAUUGCCGCUUAACAAUCGUCCCACUACCAAAGCCACAUAUUGCGAAGAAUUGCGCUCUUAGACCCCAGGUCUAUCCCCCCCCCCCCUCCCCUAAAUUUCGACGGGCAAUCGCACUAUUAGAGUUUCCAUCGUGCCUUGCGACAGAUUGCUUGACCAUAUGAGUGGCAUAGAACAUUUCUAAAACUGUGUUGAUUGGGCACGAGGCACGAAUUUUUGACGUGGCCACACAGGUAACCGGCCGAAAUGUGAGAAUAUCACUGACGCGAGAAUAUUAGUGGUCGUAUGCGCAAACGCCGUCAGGAGCUCUCAUACCAGCUUUUAUCCAUUGACAGAAAAUGAAUGUAUCUAUAUAUUUACAGGUGUACUUACCUUUUGCGGGUAACCGCUUUUCACCGUAUAACAAAUGUUCUGAAUCAGGGUGUGAGACCGGGCUAGUUGGUAUUCAAUUUCUUGAGUGACUAGCGCAAAAGCCUGUAUUUAGCGCAAUGGUUGUCACGGGAUACAACAUUAUGCACGUGUCCUUGU